GACGAACGCUGGCGGCGUGCCUAAUACAUGCAAGUCGAGCGGAUGGAAGGAAGCUUGCUUCCUAAAGUCAGCGGCGGACGGGUGAGUAACACGUGGGCAACCUGCCCCUAAGAUCGGGAUAACUUCGGGAAACCGGAGCUAAUACCGGAUAUGAUUAUGUCUCACAUGAGACAUAAUGGAAAGACGGUUUCGGCUGUCACUUAGGGAUGGGCCCGCGGCGAAUUAGCUAGUUGGUGAGGUAACGGCUCACCAAGGCGACGAUGCGUAGCCGACCUGAGAGGGUGAUCGGCCACACUGGGACUGAGACACGGCCCAGACUCCUACGGGAGGCAGCAGUAGGGAAUCUUCCGCAAUGGACGAAAGUCUGACGGAGCAACGCCGCGUGAGUGAAGAAGGUUUUCGGAUCGUAAAACUCUGUUGUUAGGGAAGAACAAGUACCAUAGUAACUGAUGGUACCUUGACGGUACCUAACCAGAAAGCCACGGCUAACUACGUGCCAGCCGCCGCGGUAA
rnacentral:rRNA from 1 species